rnacentral:rRNA from 1 species
GUUUAGGCCAGAUACGGCCCGCAUGUACUGUAACGAGCAUGAUUAGCCGUAUGCUCUUAUGAAGUUAGCGGCGGACGGGUGAGUAACACGUGGGUAACCUGCCCAUAAGACUGGGAUAACUCCGGGAAACCGGGGCUAAUACCGGAUAACAUUUUGAACCGCAUGGUUCGAAAUUGAAAGGCGGCUUCGGCUGUCACUUAUGGAUGGACCCGCGUCGCAUUAGCUAGUUGGUGAGGUAACGGCUCACCAAGGCAACGAUGCGUAGCCGACCUGAGAGGGUGAUCGGCCACACUGGGACUGAGACACGGCCCAGACUCCUACGGGAGGCAGCAGUAGGGAAUCUUCCGCAAUGGACGAAAGUCUGACGGAGCAACGCCGCGUGAGUGAUGAAGGCUUUCGGGUCGUAAAACUCUGUUGUUAGGGAAGAACAAGUGCUAGUUGAAUAAGCUGGCACCUUGACGGUACCUAACCAGAAAGCCACGGCUAACUACGUGCCAGCAGCCGCGGUAAUACGUAGGUGGCAAGCGUUAUCCGGAAUUAUUGGGCGUAAAGCGCGCGCAGGUGGUUUCUUAAGUCUGAUGUGAAAGCCCACGGCUCAACCGUGGAGGGUCAUUGGAAACUGGGAGACUUGAGUGCAGAAGAGGAAGUGGAAUUCCAUGUGUAGCGGUGAAAUGCGUAGAGAUAUGGAGGAACACCAGUGGCGACGCGACUUUCUGGUCUGUAACUGACACUGAGCGCGAAGCGUGGGGGAGCAAACAGGAUAGAUACCCUGGUAGUCCACGCCGUAAACGAUGAUUGCUAACUGUUAGAGGUUUCCGCCCUUUAAUGCUGAAGUACGGCAAUACCACUCCGGCUGGGGAUUACGCCGCUAGCUGAACUCCAAAGAAUGGACCGGGCCGCCAAGCGGGUGGGACCGGGUGAUUUAAUCCGAGUCCACGCGCAAGAACUA